rnacentral:tRNA from 1 species
GCGGGUGUAUCUCAGUGCUAGAGCACAUGCUUAGCAUGCAUGAGGUCCUGGAUUCAAUCCCCAGUCCCUCCA